AGCGGCGAACGGGUGAGUAACACGUGAGAAACUUGCCCCGGAGUUCGGGAUAACCCGAGGAAACUCGAGCUAAUACCGAAUGCCCUCUUCUGAUCGCAUGGUCGGAUGAGGAAAGAUUUAUCGCUCCGGGAGAGUCUCGCGGCCUAUCAGCUAGUUGGCGGGGUAACGGCCCACCAAGGCAUCGACGGGUAGCUGGUCUGAGAGGACGAUCAGCCACACUGGGACUGAGACACGGCCCAGACUCCUACGGGAGGCAGCAGUGGGGAAUCUUGCGCAAUGGGCGAAAGCCUGACGCAGCAACGCCGCGUGCGGGAUGAAGGCCUUCGGGUUGUAAACCGCUUUCAGCAGGGACGAAAUUGACGGUACCUGCAGAAGAAGCCCCGGCCAACUACGUGCCAGCAGCCGCGGUAACACGUAGGGGGCGAGCGUUGUCCGGAUUUAUUGGGCGUAAAGAGCUCGUAGGCGGCUCACUAAGUCGGGUGUGAAACCUCCAGGCUCAACCUGGAGACGCCACCUGAUACUGGUGUGGCUAGAGUCCGGUAGGGGAGUGUGGAACUCCUGGUGUAGCGGUGAAAUGCGCAGAUAUCAGGAAGAACACCAGCGGCGAAGGCGGCACUCUGGGCCGGAACUGACGCUGAGGAGCGAAAGCGUGGGUAGCAAACAGGAUUAGAUACCCUGGUAGUCCACGCCGU
rnacentral:rRNA from 1 species